GGCCGUCAGCUCUUCCCUUGCCCCGGAUUGCAGGGCUUCUUGGCUCAGAAAAUGACAGCUGUCUCUCGGAAUAGACGCGGAAGAAAACUGUCAAAUGUAGCAACCGUGACUAAUAAAGGGCAGGCUGGGCAGGUCUGAGGACCGUGCCCAAAAGGGAACCUAGGACCUAGGUGUGGGCCAUAGAGGUGGUGACUGUAAAAGAAAAGACUCUCUUUGUGGUUUGAAUGUGCUUGGCCCAUGGGAAAUGGCACUAUUUAGGAGGCAUGGCCUUACUGGAAGAGGUGUGGCCUUGUUAGCGGAAGUAUGUCACUGUGGCUUUGAGAACGCAAGAUGACAGCUCACCAUCCCACCAAGGCUUCGGAAGCCAGAGCUUGUGGGGCCUGGCAAGAGGCUCUGGGCUACAGGGCUCCACCUGGGUCCUCCCCAUUCCUCUCCCUGGUGACUCCCAGCCUGAAAGAAGCCAGAGGACUUUGUCAUCUGUCUACCCUGUGGUACCUUAGUCCUUUAAAUGAGUGUAUAAAGCUUGCUAAAUCUCUUUGUCUUGGAGAUUGACUU
rnacentral:lncRNA from 1 species